AGUUCCAGGGGAGGACCAGAGUUCAGGAAUUAGCAGCAGAGAUUAUCAGUCAUCAUUCAAGGACUGUGAAAAUAUUUGGGGGUAGGAGAGUUGAACAAGAAGGCGGCAUUUAAAACCAUCUUUUUUGGAAAUCAGAUAAUGCUGAGAAAAUGCUGAUCUGAAAAUGAUGAACUUACACCACCUAGAAAACUGCACAGACCCUACCAUGUGCCAAAAGUGUGCAAAACAGGCUAUUAAAAUUGUGGAGGCUCUUUCAGGAGAAACUGAAUUCUUAUCUAUGAGUAUUUUUCUGACAUUUAGUUUUAUAGCAGAGAAAUUCUCUUCUUAACUUGUUCCUGAAUCAAUGAGCAAAAUCAUCCUACAGAGAAACUAUACUUCUUCCACUCAUCCAGUAAAUAUUUACUAAGGUUCUAAACAUUAGUUAAAUGCUAGGUGCUAUAACAAAUAAACUGAACGUGCAUAAUGGCUUAAACACAGACAUUUAUUUCUCACAUAAAGCCUAACCAGAUGCAACUGUUGAGCAAGCAGCUCUUCUCCAAGUCUUGAUUCAGAGAACUAAACUUGAAUUUUGUGGCUCCGCCAUCUUCAACAUGUGGCUUUCAAAAGAUCCGUGUUUUUCUGCUUCAAGCUGUCAGAUGGAGAAGGAAUGUGGAGGACUUGCACACAAGGUUUUUAUUGCUAGAGCUGGAGAUGGCACUGUCAUUUCUAUUCAUAAUCCAUUAUUUAGAACUCAGUCAUUGGCUGCACCUGACUGCAAGGCUAGGAGGCUAGGGACUAUAGUGGGUCCAGGAAGAGAAAGAUAGGAAUUUGGUGCCCAACUUUCUGCAGUAAUCCAGGCAGUCUCCUAUGUGCUAGAAAUAAAGUUGUAAAAGUAUUCCAGCCAAGUAGAAAUAAAUUACUCUGUAAUGAAAGAAAUGCUCCACUAGAGAUAAAUCAAAUGUCAGAAAAGGGCAUUGGCGCGUGAUGACAGCUUGCCUGGAACAAAAUCCCAUGGCAUAGCUUGGGACAUAUCUGUAGACUGAAUCUCCUAGUAUCGAGAACCUCUCUCACCAAAUGUGUAUAUACUCUAAAGCAGACGGAAUACAGGGACAUCUAGAUGUCCUUUACUGGGUCUUGUCAUAUCUUACUACUUAGUCUGUGAAUCAAGAGCAUGACCUGUUAAAAACGCAUACUCUCAGGCUCCACCCCAGAACUGCAGAAUCAGACUCUGCAUUUUUUCUAGGUCUACCAAGUGAUAUGUGUCCACAUUAAGGUUUAAGAAUCACCAUCUGAGAUCACUUGUGAUCCUGACUUCAGCACUUACUAAUAGUGUGAUUUUAGCCAGCUUGCUUAAUCUCUGUCCCUUCACUUCUUCAUCUUUAUAAUGGGGAUGAUUUGAUAUUGGGGUAUCUCUUUAGAGAUAAUGCACACAAAUGUUAAAUAACAUCUGACACUUAGCAUUAGCUGUUUUCAUGUGCUAUUUACUUUAAAAAAUAACUGUAGGGAGAUAGAGCUUUGUGAACUGUAACUAUUUGAGCUCACCCUCUUUCAACCCUUAUUUAUGUCACAUUAAGUACUUUUGGCCCUUUGAAAUGGUGAGAGGGUUUUUUAUUCAUAUUGUUUAGUCUUUGUUCCUCAGAAAUGAGUGAGCACAGAAAAAGUAACUUUUUCCAGAGUUAGCGAAUGAUAAUUGUCCUAGUAAGCCCUAAUAUGAACAGCAGCCAUAAUUUCAAUCAAUGAAUUAAGUAAUAAACUUAAAAGUCUACACAGGAACAGUCUACUAAUUUGCUGAACCUUGAGAGACACUAACGCUUAAUGGGGUUUAAUCAUACAUAUGUGGUAACCCUAGGUUAAUCGAAAUAGGCAAAAUGGGCUAUUUGUGGAUGAAAUAAUUUGUUCAACUAGAAAACAACCUGGUUUUCAGCCUUUUUGGAAAUGUGUUUUAGUCUUAUAAUCUUUGUGCCCCAUUUAGUAAGUAUAGUAUAUGCACAUUAAAGUUAAUUUUCCCUUAGAAAGCGCAUCCAGAUCUUUCAGUGCCUCAGCCUCAAUACUGUUUCUCUUAAUCCUAU
ensembl:lncRNA